rnacentral:lncRNA from 1 species
GGGCACCCAAUCUGUCCUUGACGCCCUUUGGAGCACUGAAGAUCUCCUGCUGGAGAGAAUCCCUCCUGGAACAAGCUGCCCCAAGCCCAAGGGCACCCAGGCACACACCGCCAGGCUGAGAUGUAAGAAUCAAUUCUCCUGAGAGUUGGUUGGAGCCAGGAACAACAGAAAUGAUGGUGAUGGUCUGGCUAUGCUGCACGGUUGCCAAGGAGCCAGCUCGGGCAUUUGCUGCAACGUCUGUGGGAUACAGAGGUCACCGGGACAAGAGACACUCCAAAAAGCCAUGGCAAGGAAGAAAAGUUUUUCGAACUGAGAUCUGAAAGGAAAUCUUUGCCGAAAAGGUUUGCAACCAGCAGUGCAGACACUGGUGGAAGUAAAGACAGGUGGUUGCUGAAGAUGGGUCUUCCAGCUCAGUGCACUGCUAAGGGCAACACCACACUUCUGGAAAAAGCAGAAAAUGAGUCUUCCAUAGGAGAUAAGUAGUUCUUAUCAGUUCUUAUAUCAAGAGAUAUAUGUUCCAGUCAUCAGACAAGGUAUUCUACUAAACAAACUGAUUGGAUUUGUCAGUAUACAAAUUACAUCAUAGGUGGUUAGAGGGAGACCAGAAUGGGAGAAAGAUUACAAAGGAUAUCCUUUGGUGAAAUACUCAGAGGUAUCAACAUGACUAUUUUAAUCAAAGGAGAAGUUAGAAUUUAAGGGAAGGUAAAACUUUAAGCUACUCUUAACUACACAGCACCAGUGAUUAUGUUGCGCGGAGGCUCCAGUUAAUGACUCCUAAGAGGUAGAGCUCUAGUAUGGUAUGGCUCAAAAAAAAUGUGACACGAUCUGAGACCUUAGAGCUGUAGUCUGAAGAUUUUGAGUGGAAAUUGGGAUCAAAUAUUUUGAGGGUUGUUAAUUAUUUCAGCCACAUACACGCUUGUGGUACUUUUCCUUAAAUGAGCACUUUAAAACUAGUUUGUUUUUCUUUUAAGAUGUGGUCUCAUUUAAAUAAUGAUUGCGGUGAAAUUUUAUGUGUUAUUUUAUUGAGAAGAUCAAAGCAGAAGGCCAUAACAAUCCCCAACAGUGAAGUAAAUGCAUAGAUCUAGUGGAAGAAUAGUUGAGAUUAUAGUACUACAUGGGAGGCUAGGACUGAUAGGGAAGAAUUUAGGGAUCAAAAGUGAAGGAAACUGAAGAACUAAAGAAAACAUCUGUUUUGAGCUGAAGAGAGACUGGCUGAAAGUUGUUGGGUCAAA